rnacentral:rRNA from 1 species
GGUAGUAGCAAAUACUCAAGUGAGAACCUUGAGGACUGAAGUGGAGAAGGGUUCCAUGUGAACAGCAGUUGAACAUGGGUCAGUCGGUCCUAAGGGAAAGGAGAAGUUCUUUCCGAAGCGGGAGCACUUUUUUGCAGUGGAGAGAGCCCCGCAGUGACCGAAAGGGAAUCGGGUUAAUAAUCCCGAACCCGGACACGGAGAUUGGUCCUUCGGGGCCCAGUGCGGUAACGCAAACCAGCUCGGAGACGCCGAUGCGAGCCCCGGGAAGAGUUUUCUUUUCUCUGUAAGGAGAUCGAGUCCCUGGAAUGGGUUCGCCCCGAGAUAGGGAUGGUGGCUCCGUAGAGCAGUGCGGUUCUUGCGCUGUCCGGUGCGCUCGCGUCGGCCCUUGAAAAUCCGAGUGAGGGAGUGUGAUUUUCGUGCCGGACCGUACCCACAUCCGCAGCAGGUCUCCAAGGUGAACAGCCUCUAGUC